rnacentral:lncRNA from 1 species
CGGGCACCAUCUCCCGGAAUACAUGCUUCACCAACACUUGCCCAACAUCAUCACGUAACGCACUAAUACGGCGGACCAACUCAAAAGGGCUCACACCGGCAGAAGGAUCAUUAAUCAAACUCACAGCCUGAGUGCAAUCAAGUUCAACCAACAGCCUACUGAAUCCCCUCGAUCGGGCAAGCUGCAAGCCAUCAGCAAUGGCCCAGUGUUCAGCUUUGCCCAAUUUCCGACAGAAAUCGAGACAUCACUGGCCAGCGUGAUCUACCAUACUAUUUAAUAUCCUUUUGCAAAGAGAUCUAUCU